CCGACCUUCGCUCAGUUGGUAGAGCGGAGGACUGUAGAUCCUUAGGUCACUGGUUCGAAUCCGGUAGGUCGGA
rnacentral:tRNA from 1 species